rnacentral:misc_RNA from 1 species
GUAAUGCGAUAAGUAAUGUGAAUUGCAGAAUUCAGUGAAUCAUCGAAUCUUUGAACGCACAUUGCGCUCGCCAGUAUUCUGGCGAGCAUGCCUGUUCGAGCGUCAUUUCAACCAUCAAGCUCUGCUUGCGUUGGGGAUCCGCGGCUGCCCGCGGUCCCUCAAAAACAGUGGCGGGCUCGCUAGUCACACCGAGCGUAGUAACUCUACAUCGCUAUGGUCGUGCGGCGGGUUCUUGCCGUAAAACCCCCAAUUUCUAAGGUUGACCUCGGAUCAGGUAGGAAUACCCGCUGAACUUAAGC